rnacentral:rRNA from 1 species
GAUGAACGCUGGCGGCGUGCCUAAUACAUGCAAGUCGAGCGAACAGACGAGGAGCUUGCUCCUCUGACGUUAGCGGCGGACGGGUGAGUAACACGUGGAUAACCUACCUAUAAGACUGGGAUAACUUCGGGAAACCGGAGCUAAUACCGGAUAAUAUAUUGAACCGCAUGGUUCAAUAGUGAAAGACGGUUUUGCUGUCACUUAUAGAUGGAUCCGCGCCGCAUUAGCUAGUUGGUAAGGUGACGGCUUACCAAGGCAACGAUGCGUAGCCGACCUGAGAGGGUGGUCGGCCACACUGGAACUGAGACACGGUCCAGACUCCUACGGGAGGCAGCAGUAGGGAAUCUUCCGCAAUGGGCGAAAGCCUGACGGAGCAACGCCGCGUGAGUGAUGAAGGUCUUCGGAUCGUAAAACUCUGUUAUUAGGGAAGAACAAAUGUGUAAGUAACUAUGCACGUCUUGACGGUACCUAAUCAGAAAGCCACGGCUAACUACGUG